rnacentral:lncRNA from 1 species
GCAUGUUGAAAAUUUUAAAGUCUGCAAACAUGGGGUUGGGAAUCAGUGAAAUAUCUGAUCGUGGAAUAAUGCGUCUUACAGAGAUGCAGUAAUUAAAUGGACAAAAUCACUGUAUUGUCUAGUAGCAGCUUGUUUGCACUCCUUGGACAAUCUGAUGUCUAAUAGCAUGAUAUCUAAAACUUCCUCUUAUUAAAUAAGGUAAUCGUUAAUUAAAAGAGCUUCUUUAUUGGAUUGUAGAGUCUCGUGCUGAUAACG